AGAGUUUGAUCAUGGCUCAGGACGAACGCUGGCGGCGUGCCUAAUACAUGCAAGUCGAACGAAGCUUUCUUUCACCGAAUGCUUGCAUUCACCGAAAGAAGCUUAGUGGCGAACGGGUGAGUAACACGUAGGCAACCUGCCCAAAAGAGGGGGAUAACACUUGGAAACAGGUGCUAAUACCGCAUAACCAUGAACACCGCAUGAUGUUCAUGUAAAAGACGGCUUUUACUGUCACUUUUGGAUGGGCCUGCGGCGUAUUAACUUGUUGGUGGGGUAACGGCCUACCAAGGUGAUGAUACGUAGCCGAACUGAGAGGUUGAUCGGCCACAUUGGGACUGAGACACGGCCCAAACUCCUACGGGAGGCAGCAGUAGGGAAUCUUCCACAAUGGACGAAAGUCUGAUGGAGCAACGCCGCGUGAAUGAAGAAGGCCUUCGGGUCGUAAAAUUCUGUUGUCAGAGAAGAACGUGCGUGAGAGUAACUGUUCACGUAUUGACGGUAUCUGACCAGAAAGCCACGGCUAACUACGUGCCAGCAGCCGCGGUAAUACGUAGGUGGCGAGCGUUGUCCGGAUUUAUUGGGCGUAAAGGGAACGCAGGCGGUCUUUUAAGUCUGAUGUGAAAGCCUUCGGCUUAACCGAAGUAGUGCAUUGGAAACUGGAAGACUUGAGUGCAGAAGAGGAGAGUGGAACUCCAUGUGUAGCGGUGAAAUGCGUAGAUAUAUGGAAGAACACCAGUGGCGAAAGCGGCUCUCUGGUCUGUAACUGACGCUGAGGUUCGAAAGCGUGGGUAGCAAACAGGAUUAGAUACCCUGGUAGUCCACGCCGUAAACGAUGAGUGCUAAGUGUUGGAGGGUUUCCGCCCUUCAGUGCUGCAGCUAGCGCAUUAAGCACUCCGCCUGGGGAGUACGGUCGCAAGACUGAAACUCAAAGGAAUUGACGGGGGCCCGCACAAGCGGUGGAGCAUGUGGUUUAAUUCGAAGCAACGCGAAGAACCUUACCAGGUCUUGACAUCUUCUGACAAUUCCAGAGAUGGAACGUUCCCUUCGGGGACAGAAUGACAGGUGGUGCAUGGUUGUCGUCAGCUCGUGUCGUGAGAUGUUGGGUUAAGUCCCGCAACGAGCGCAACCCUUAUUGUCAGUUGCCAUCAUUAAGUUGGGCACUCUGGCGAAACUGCCGGUGACAAACCGGAGGAAGGUGGGGAUGACGUCAAAUCAUCAUGCCCCUUAUGACCUGGGCUACACACGUGCUACAAUGGACGGUACAACGAGUCGCUAACUCGCGAGGGCAAGCUAAUCUCUUAAAGCCGUUCUCAGUUCGGAUUGCAGGCUGCAACUCGCCUGCAUGAAGUCGGAAUCGCUAGUAAUCGCGAAUCAGCAUGUCGCGGUGAAUACGUUCCCGGGCCUUGUAUACACCGCCCGUCACACCAUGAGAGUUUGUAACACCCAAAGUCGGUGGGGUAACCUUUUGGAGCCAGCCGCCUAAGGUGGGACAGAUGAUUGGGGUGAAGUCGUAACAAGGUA
rnacentral:rRNA from 1 species